rnacentral:rRNA from 1 species
GAUGAACGCUGACAGAAUGCUUAACACAUGCAAGUCAACUUGAAUUUGGGUUUUUAACUUAGGUUUGGGUGGCGGACGGGUGAGUAACGCGUAAAGAACUUGCCUCACAGCUAGGGACAACAUUUGGAAACGAAUGCUAAUACCUAAUAUUAUGAUAAUAGGGCAUCCUAUAAUUAUGAAAGCUAUAAGCGCUGUGAGAGAGCUUUGCGUCCCAUUAGCUAGUUGGAGAGGUAACGGCUCACCAAGGCGAUGAUGGGUAGCCGGCCUGAGAGGGUGAUCGGCCACAAGGGGACUGAGACACGGCCCUUACUCCUACGGGAGGCAGCAGCGGGGAAUAUUGGACAAUGGACCAAGAGUCUGAUCCAGCAAUUCUGUGUGCACGAUGAAGUUUUUCGGAAUGUAAAGUGCUUUCAGUUGGGAAGAAAGAAAUGACGGUACCAACAGAAGAAGUGACGGCUAAAUACGUG